UCAAAAUUGGUAAAAGCCCAUUAGCUGCCAAGAGGGAAUAAGGAGACAAUUUCCUUUGGAGAAGUCUCAAAACCAAAAGACUAAUUUACAUGAAAAGCUGUAGAGAAAAGUAGUUGAAAAGUCCAUUCAUAAAACUUUUAUUCCACUUACAUGAACUUUAAUACAUGUGUUCUUAACAAUUAUGCUUGGAUUGUUCAUGAAAAUUUCUUAAGACAUUAAAACAAAGCUAGCCGUCAUCUCAAGUUAUUUCCCUGUUAACUAUUUUUACAGCACAUGCAUGUUAGGCAAGUAUCAAAAAGAAAAAAAAAAAAUCACAAAAGCAAAAACAAAACAAAACAAAAAACUU
rnacentral:lncRNA from 1 species